CCUACGGGAGGCAGCAGUGGGGGAUAUUGCACAAUGGGGGGAACCCUGAUGCAGCGACGCCGCGUGUGGGAAGACGGUCCUCUGGAUUGUAAACCACUGUCCCCAGGGCCGAAGAUGACGGUACCUGGGGAGGAAGCUCCGGCUAACUACGUGCCAGCAGCCGCGGUAAUACGUAGGGAGCGAGCGUUGUCCGGAAUUACUGGGUGUAAAGGGAGCGUAGGCGGGACUGCAAGUUGGGUGUCAAAUCUACCGGCUCAACCGGUAGCCGCACUCAAAACUGCAGUUCUUGAGGGAAGGAGAGGCAGGCGGAAUGCCUAGUGUAGCGGGGAAAGGAGUAGAUAUUAGGAGGAACACCAGUGGCGAAGGCGGACUGCUGGGCUUUUACUGACGCUGAGGCUCGAAAGUGUGGGGAGCAAACAGGAGUAGAUACACGAGUAGUC
rnacentral:rRNA from 1 species